rnacentral:rRNA from 1 species
CCCUUAGAUGUUCUGGGCCGCACGCGUGCUACACUGAGUGGAUCAGCGGGUCAGGUUGCGCGAAAGCGUUUCCUAAUCUUUAAAUCCGCUCGUGAUGGGGAUUGACGGUUGCAAUUUUCUGUCAUGAACGAGGAAUACCUUGUAAGCGCGGGUCAUCAUCCCGCGCUGAAUACGUCCCUGCCCUUUGUACACACCGCCCGUCGCUCCUACCGAUUGAGUGGUCCGGUGAAGACUCAGGAGAUAUGUACGUGGCUGGUCUCCAGCUGCGUUGCGUGCCGAAUUUGUCUAAACCUUGAUGCUUAGAGGAAGGAGAAGUCGUAACA